GUGUAUCAAAUACUUGUUCUCCCCACUGUAAGUGAGACAUAUCUGUUUGAACCAACUCUGCACUAUGGACUAUGCUUUUUAUCCUGUGCAUGUCAGUUGUGGGCUCAAAGGCCAUGUCAACAUCUGAUGUGUCCAUCAUAUUUUAAAAUUGACAGGAAAACAUUGCACCUUUAACAUUUAAAAACAAAAAAGACACAUUUAAAUACAAUGGUCGAUUCAAAUGACCCAAGUUUAGUGGUCAAGCUCCAUCUUGUAUCCUUUCUUUUGUAAGUCUUUGCAUACACAUCAUUUUAUCUUUGCACUUGUUCUGCAUUGUUAUUUCCCAAGUGUAACCAAGAUAACCCUGGUGAUAUCACCAGAGUUAUCUAAUGUAGUCAGUAAAAAAGUUAUCUCUUCAAUAAAAUGCCGUUUUAUCUUUUUUCCUGUAUUUAUUCAACCAACUAGUCUGUAGUAGUAUAAUCACCUUACAUGCCUUUAGAUUUUGCUAUCCGGUAAAUAAGGCAGAGUGAGACGUUACCUUUUCCUAUCUGAUUGAAUAUCCCGGGGCUUCCUUCGCCCCGCCCACGUCUUUGAAACGUCAACAGCGCCAAACUUCGGGCUCCCAACGGGGGAAAAUGAACACUGAUGCAGAGGAGCCGCAAUGGAGGAAAGUUCAUUCAGUUGCAGGAGUGAUACCGCGGUCCAGACACGGACAUCGAGCAGUUGCAAUACGGGAGCUGAUAGUUGUGUUCGGGGGUGGAAACGAAGGGAUAGCGGAGGACCUCCAUGUUUACAACACUGUCUCAAAGCAGUGGUUCCUGCCUGCAGUGAGGGGGGACAUCCCCCCCGGCUGUGCUGCCCAUGGCUUUGUCUGUGAUGGGACUCGGAUUCUGGUCUUUGGGGGCAUGGUGGAGUUUGGGAAAUACACCAACAGCCUUUAUGAACUGCAGGCUAGUCGCUGGCUGUGGAAGAAGCUGAAGCCCAGGGCCCCCAGGAACGGCCUGCCCCCCUGUCCCCGGAUCGGACACAGCCUCACUGUUGUGGGGAAUAAGUGUUACCUGUUUGGAGGGCUGGCCAAUGAUAGUGAAGACACCAACGGCAAUGUGCCAAGAUACAUGGGGGACUUCUAUGAGCUGGAGCUGCAGUCUCUAACGGGAGUAAGAGGUUGGAGCAUUCCUGAGACAAAGGGUGGUGGUCCCUCAGCGCGAGAGUCCCACACGGCGGUCGCCUACACUGGGCUCGGCUCCAUGAAGAUCUACAUCUUUGGAGGGAUGCAAGGAUCCCGGUUAGGCGACCUGUGGCAGCUUGACCUUGACACAAUGUCUUGGUCGACGCCUGAAACCAGAGGUUCCACACCACUUCCCAGGAGCCUUCACUCUGCCAGUGUUAUUGGAAACAAGAUGUUUGUGUUUGGAGGCUGGGUUCCUGCCCCAGAGCCCUACCAGAACACUGCGGUAGAACCUGAGUGGAUCUGCAGUGACUCCUUAAGUGUGCUCAACUUAGACACUAUGAGCUGGCAGGAUCUUGGUCCAGAGCAACAAGACAAUGCUGAAUCCCAGCUGCACAUUCAGGGGCCACAGAGUGACGAUCCGUACGCCUGUCGGCCCAGAGCCCGGGCCGGACACUGUGCUGCCAGCGUGGGGUCCAGGCUCUACUUCUGGAGCGGCCGUGAUGGGUACCGCAAGAGCUGGAACUACCAGGUCUGCUGUAAGGACCUGUGGUACCUGGAGACAGAGCGACCAGCUGCCCCAGAGGCCCCCUUACUCAUCAAGUCUACUGUCAGCAUGCUACAUGUGGCGUGGCGCCCCCUGGCAGCAGCAGACUGCUACAUCCUUCAGAUCCAGCCUGCACCCCCACCUGCCAAAGCAGUCCCUCCCACUGGAACAGAGGGACUGGACCGGAAGGCUGAGGGACUGUCUACAGAUGUACAGUCCCUUCGACCUGCAGCUGGAGGAACCACUAAUAAAGAACAGGAAACGUCAGCACAGGUUGGUUCACAACAACAGGAGUCCUCUGAGAGCAGAGCAGAUGCAGACAGCAGUGCCGGCAGGGACCCGGAGAAGGACUGCGACACAAAGCACUGCAGUGGUGCAGCGGACACAUCAGCAGAGGUCAGCAGCCCAGCUCAGCAGCCCUCAGAGAAACCGCCAGUUUCAGGGAACAACACCUCAGAUCUCUCCCGUCAGGUCCAGCAGAGCCCAGAGGAGGCAGUGUGGUAUGAUGUCGGUGUGUUCAGAACACUGUUCUGUGAGGCCACUCAUUACUAUCUACCUGCAGACAGCGAGCAGACGCCUGCAGCCAGCAGCAGCCGGCCACCAAACACUAAGGAGCCCUCCCUCCAGAAGAAGUGUCCUGGGCCUCAGGACUACCAGAGCAGAGAGAAGCAGGAGCUGGCUCCAGGGCAGACCUACAGGUUCAGAGUUGCAGGCAUCAACUGCUUUGGCCAGGGAGACCUCAGCCCGGUCAGCGAGUUCAAGACCUGCCUGCCGGGUUUCCCCGGAGCACCCUCUGCUGUCAGGAUCACUAAGGCCAACGAUUCAGUCCACAUCACGUGGGACGCCCCCCCCUCCCCAUCAGGCCGGAUCCUGGAGUACUCCAUGUACAUGGCAGUGAGGAAGAGCCGCUCGACCAGCUCUGAGCGUCCGGGUCAGAUGGCCUUCAUCAGGAUAUACCGCGGCACCAAGACAUCCUGCUCGGUCAGCUCCACCCACCUGGAGAAUGCACAGAUCGACUGCUCCGCCUCCAACCGGCCAGCGGUGGUCUUCCGCAUAGCUGCUAAGAACGAGCAGGGCUACGGCCCCGCCACGCAGAUCCGCUGGAUCCAAGGUGCAGGAUCCCAUUAAAUUGCGAGGGUCUGCCUCCAAAGUGGACAUCAAUGCUGAGGCUGACCUGGAUGCUGCUGACAGCUCCAGCUGAGUGUGAGGACCAAUGACACCCGUUUUUGGAAAGACUGUAUGUUUACUCAGGAAAUUGGCGAUUGUACGUCACUGCGUUGUUGUAUAUUUCCUAAACUGUUUUGUUAAUUUAUUUUGUAUGUAUUUAAUUAUUCCCUGUAAAUACAUUUUCAUAGGAAGUUUGACCACUUGGGUAUUUUAGUUAAAGAAUUAUUUUGUAAUAAGAAAUAAGAUGUUAACCCAACCAAAAGAGUAAAAGAUUUAAAACUGACAGCAUCAGCUGUACAUCGGAAAGAACAUCUUGUUGUUAUUUAGCCCUGGUUUUUUAAUCGGAUCAUUUUCUAUGAUUCAGGUUGAGUUUAAGAUCUUAUAAGAUCUGUUAACAUGUAUUCAUCACCACCACCACCACCAGAAUGUUAAGGAUGUUUUUUCUACGUCUGUUGUAAAUUUAAAAAAUGACAUUGACUGCAGCUAAAGAGCAGAGCACAACUUAUGUUGCUGGUUUUAAUUAAAGGUAUACAAAAUGUCACAUUUCAUGUCAGAGAUUUGUAAUUAACCUUUUUUGUCUUUGGCUUGACCAACUCGUUUUUUAGUUGGCACAAAGUAUCAAUAUUAUUUUCCUCCCUGCCCUUCUCCAUCAGCCCGCAUUUUGGAUUAUUACAGGCCUCUCCUCCGGACCUCACAUUAUUGAGCAGUGCUUUAUCUCUUCAUGUUAGUUGCAAAAAAAGUAUUCCUUUCUUGUACUUUCAUAAAGGACCAUUUCCCUUACUUAUUUAACACGUUUUCUGAUGAAAACAACUAGAUUUAAAGUUGAGACUGAAGGACAUGGUCAGAACAUGCACAUAACACAUUUUCCACCUUUUAACAUUCCUUGGUUAGGCUGCAGACUUAUUAGCAACCUUAAGAGGUGAAUUGUGUUGGAGGUAAACUUGUAUCAAUCUUGUCCAUAAAAUGAAAUUGGAUGAUGUUUUAGCCACAGAUAAUCGUUUUAAAAGUAGUUUCUGUAAGCAGCUGAGUGUGUUUGAAGCGAGGACAAAUACAUUGUAAAGUUGAAAAAUAUGUCUUGGAAUAAGUCUUUUUUAAGCAGUAACCAAAAGUUUUACAUGCAGUUUUAGAUAGUAUUAUGCUGUUUAUUACUGAGGAGGGUGCAGGAUGCACAGUUUUUGUGUACAAUAAAUACGAGUUAAAAUUAA